CGCAAGCCUGACGGAGCAACGCCGCGUGUGGGAAGAAGGCUCUUGGGCUGUCAACCACUUUUCUCAGGGAAGAAGCCCUGACGGUACCUGAGGAAUCAGCCUCGGCUAACUCCGUGCCAGCAGCCGCGGUAAUACGGAGGAGGCAAGCGUUAUCCGGAAUUAUUGGGCGUAAAGCGUCCGCAGGGGGCACAUCAAGUCUGCUGUUAAAGGCUGGAGCUUAACUCCGGUAGAGCAGUGGAAACUGGUGUGCUAGAGGGCGACAGGGGUAGAGGGAAUUCCCAGUGUAGCGGUGAAAUGCGUAGAGAUUGGGAAGAACACCGGUGGCGAAAGCGCUCUACUGGGUCGCACCUGACCCUCAGGGACGAAAGCUAGGGGAGCG
rnacentral:rRNA from 1 species